rnacentral:misc_RNA from 1 species
GAUGAAGAACGUAGCGAAAUGCGAUAAGUAAUGCGAAUUGCAGAAUUCCAGUGAGUCAUCGAAUCUUUGAACGCACAUUGCGCCCUUUGGUAUUCCGAAGGGCAUGCCUGUUCGAGCGUCAUUAUCACCCCUCAAGCCCUCGGCUUGGUGUUGGACGGUUUGGUGGAGGCCCCCUCGGGGGUUCCUGCCCCUCCCAAAGACAAUGACGGCGGCCUCGUUGGACCCCCGGUACACUGAGUUCUUCACGGGACACGUAUCGGACACAUGGGUUUACGGGACACGGUCUGCCUCCCCUCAGGGAGAAUCUUUCUAAGGUUGAUCUCGGAUCAGGUAGGGAUACCCGCUGAACUUAAGCAUAUCAAUAAGCGGAGGA